UACGGGGGGGGCAAGCGUUGUUCGGAAUUACUGGGCGUAAAGGGCUCGUAGGCGGCCAACUAAGUCGGACGUGAAAUCCCCAGGCUCAACCUGGGAACUGCAUCCGAUACUGGAUGGCUUGAAUUCGGGAGAGGGAUGCAGGAUUCCAGGUGUAGCGGUGAAAUGCGUAGAUAUCUGGAGGAAUACCGGUGGCGAAGGCGGCAUCCUGGACCGACAUUGACGCUGAGGAGCGAAAGCCAGGGGAGCAAACGGG
rnacentral:rRNA from 1 species